UUUAGCACGGGUGGACGUGUUCUUGAUAGUUUUAGAAGUUCUCUAACUCCUCUCAUGGUCGAGGCUUUGGUUUGCACACAAGAUUGGCUUCGAAAAUCUAAUGAUGCCAUCAAUCUUGAAGAUUAUGUUGAUGAACUUCAAACCAUGGAAGAUGACUUAUCCAAAAUACCCAAAGAAUAAGAAGAUGUUUCAAGAUUAUCAAUGCCAUUGUCAUCGAUGUUUGAAGCACAAGAAGAAACUUAAACUAAUGGUUCUUGAACUGAUGUGUUAUUGUUAUUAGUUUGGUUUGGUUUGUUAUUUUUGUUGGUUAAUUGGACUUUUGUUGUGUUCUUUUUUUGUUUAUUUGUUUGAAUUGGUGUAGGUUUCUAUUAUAUUUUGGACUUUUACUUAUGUUUUUUAUUAUUAUAAUGUUGUUGUUUAGUUUGA